UAAGCUUUCAUAAGUGUAAACUAUAAAUUAUAUAGAUUUUUUCCUACUAAUUUAUGGAACAUUUUUACUUAAAAUUAAUGUUAAUCCCAAGUAUUUGAUAGUUAAUUAGGUGAAUCUUGUUCAUAUUAUGAUAAUGGGCAUGAUUUAAUAAAGUAUGCAAUUUUAUGCUUUUAUGUAUUAAUUUUGUGCAUAAUUUAAUUAAUUCAUGCUUCAUAUUAAUUUCCUCUAUUUAAAUGUUGCAGUGGGGUCAUGGAGUUAAUAAUUUAUGAAGCUUAUUUUAAUUUUGCAUGGGCAUGAGACUUAUUCCACCUAGCCGGACGGCAAAGGCAUGCAAUUUGGGUCAUGAAGAGGUCACAUUGAUCCAAUUAAAGAUGAUUAAAUUGAAGGACAAGUCUGACAACUAAAUGGGUUACAAAACCUUCCAAACAAAUGGGGAAUAAGCCAAAUUCGACAGGGGCAUUUAAGUAGCCCAAAAUUAGCUGUUGGAGGAAUUUUUUAGAAGUCCUUAUACUUGGAAAAUAAUUAAAAAUAAGCUCUUAACAAUCACCCAUGAAACCAUCCAACACCUUGCUUGAUUCAAGCAUGAUCUCAUGCAUGAAUCAAGCAACCAACAACCACCGCUCUCAACAAUUCAUGGCCAGCCAAGCAAGGGAGCAUAUCAAAGGAUCCCUCAAGCUAUUUUUAGCAAACACUCAUGUCACCCCUCUACUAUAAAUACCAACCCUUACUUCUCAUUCCAUCAUCCCUCAUUCUUCACUUCACAUUAUCUUCUCUCAUACAUUUUAUUACAUGCAUUGCAUUUAGGUUAAAUCGCAUUUAGAUUAUUUAAUUUGAUUUAAACAUCAACCACCUCAAAAACUAUUGUGUUUUUCAACCAACUUGUAAAUCUUUAAUUCUACAAUUAAUUGAUUAACAUACACAAUCCCUGUGGAGAUGAUAACUCAUUUACUUACUUAUUACUUGAUAACGAUUUUGUACACUUGUACAAACCCCAACGUUACAGUAAGCUCAAUAUAAACCCAAACUUGGUUGUAAUGUUUAUUAUAAUUAAUUUUAUGUAAUGUAUUGAUAUUUAAUUGAAAUUUUGAAUAAUUGUAUGUAAAUGAUUUAUAUAUGUUUGUAGCAUUUUGUUACUCGGGUUCGGCGACCAGACAGGUAAGAGGUGUUACAAAGAUGCUUUUAUCACUGUAAUGAAGCGAUACAACAUAAAACAUGGGUUAAACUUCUAUUUUGUUAAAUCCUGACUGGAGAAAUUCGAGGUGAAGUGCGUAAUGUGUGACAGAAGAUGUCCAUGGAAAAUCAUAGCAUUUGUGAAAAAGAAGACUGGUACGGACAAAGGGAAUCCGAUUGUUUAAUUAAAAGAAAGCAUUGCGAUGGUGCCUGCAGAUGUUCACGUAAUGUGAUUUCUGCCCAGUGCUCUGAAUGUCAAAGUGAAGAAAUUCAACCAAGUGAAGGUAAACGGCGGGAGUAACUAUGACUCCUUAAGGUAGCCAAAUGCCUCGUCAUCUAAUUAGUGAUGCACAUGAGUGGAUUAACGAGAUUCCCACUGUCCGUGUCUACUAUCCAGCGAAACCACAGCCAAGGUAACGGGCUUGGCAGAAUCAGUGGGGAAAGAAGACUCUGUUGAGCUUAACUCUAGCCCGAAUUUUUGAAAUAACUUGAGAGUUGUAGGAUAAGUGGGAGCUCUCAGAUGAAAGUGAAAUACCACUACUUUUAACGUUAUUUUACUUAUUCUGUGAAUCGGAGGUGGGGCACGGCCCCUCUUUUUGGAUCCAAGGUCGGCUUUGGCCGGCCGAUCCAAGUAGAAGACAUUGUCAGGUGGAGAGUUUGGCUGGGGUGGCACAUCUGUUAAAAGAUAAUGCAAGUGUCCUAAGAUGAGCUCAACGAGAAUAGAAAUCUUGUGUGGAACAAAAGGGUAGAAUUUCAUUUGAUUCUGAUUUCUAGUACAAAUACGAACCAUGAAAACGUGGCCUAUCGAUCCUUUAGACCUUUGAAAUUUGAAGCUAGAGGUGUCAGAAAAGUUACCACAAGGAUACCUGGCUUGUGGUAGCCAAGCGUUUAUAGCGAUGCUACUUUUUGAUCCUUCGAUGUCGGCUCUUCCAAUCACUGUAAAGCAGAAUUCACCAAGUGUUGGAUUGUUCACCCACCAAUAGGGAACGUGAGCUGGGUUUAGACUGUCGUGAGACAAGUUAGUUUUACCCUACCGAUGGCUGCCUCGCAAUAAUAAUUCAACCUAGUACAAAAGGAACCAUUGAUUCACACAAUUGGUCAUUGCGCUUGGUUCAAAAGCCAGUGGCACGAAGCUACCGUGUGUCGGGUUAUGACUGAACACCUCUAAGUCAGAAUCUGGGCUAGAAGUGGCGCACCCGUCCGUCGCCCGAUUACCGACCCGCAGUAGGGGCCUCUGGCCCCCAAGGCCACAUGUUGUAGGUGUAGCGACCGCAGCAGACAAGUUGCGGGUGCCUCCUUGGAGCGUAAUUCCCACCGAACGGCGAGUAGAAUCCUUUACAAAUGACUUAAAUACGCGACGGGGUAUUAUAAGUGGCAGAGUGGCCUUGCUUCCACAAUCCACUAAGAUUCAGCCCUUUGUCGCUUUAAUUCGU
rnacentral:rRNA from 1 species